UACAGAGGUGGCAAGCGUUGUUCGGAAUUACUGGGCGUAAAGGGCGCGUAGGCGGCCGCCUAAGUCAGACGUGAAAUCCCCAAGCUUAACUUGGGAACUGCGUCUGAUACUGGGUGGCUUGAGUUCGGGAGAGGAAUGUGGAAUUCCAGGUGUAGCGGUGAAAUGCGUAGAUAUCUGGAGGAACACCGGUGGCGAAGGCGGCAUUCUGGACCGAAACUGACGCUGAGGCGCGAAAGCCAGGGGAGCAAACGGGAUUAGAUACCCCGGUAGUCCUGGCCCUAAACGAUGAGUGCUUGGUGUGGUGGGUAUCGAUCCCUGCCGUGCCGAAGCUAACGCAUUAAGCACUCCGCCUGGGGAGUACGGUCGCAAGGCUGAA
rnacentral:rRNA from 1 species